CUUGUCUCCUGCGGUCGGACCGCUAUUAACAUUAACGGUGAGAUCGGCCCCUUCUUCCCCACACUCUGUGGGGUCCGCCAAGGCGACCCUUUCUCGCCGUUCCUGUUUAACAUGGUGGCCGAUGCCCUCGCGGCCAUUCUUGACAAAGCCAAAUCGGCCGGCCACAUUCACGGCGUGGUCCCACACCUUGUAGGAGGGGGGGUCUCCCUCCUACAAUAUGCCGAUGACACCAUAAUAAUGGUUGAGGGCUCCGAGUCCGAUAUUGCCAACCUGAAGUUCCUCCUCCUCUGCUUCCAACGGAUGUCCGGUCUGACCAUCAACUUU
rnacentral:rRNA from 1 species